rnacentral:rRNA from 1 species
GGCGUCGGCGGGCGUAUUUCGCCUCACAGUAGGUCGCCGCGACCCGUUGCUUUUGGGGACGUCGAAGGCCCGGACGGAUUGGUACCCUACCGGCUGGGGAUGCGGCUUCGGCUUCUCCUCUUGUCCGGUGGGCGAAACCGCCGGUGUCCUGGCUGCCCUGCGACGGUCGUAGAGACGAGCCCUCCCCUUCGGGGGGGCGGCUCUCGCGGCGUGCAAAAGGUCGGUGAUCCACCCGACCCGUCUUGAAACACGGACCAAGGAGUCUAACAUGUGUGCGAGUCAGUGGGCGCACUAAACCCAGAGGCGUAAUGAAAGUGACACGGGUUCGGCUGUCGCCUCGUGUGGCAGCCGGACUCAGGGCCGAUCCCUCACCGGUUGCCCUCGCCUCUCUCCCGCGUCUCGGUAAGCCGGGUGAGCUAUUUUCCCCGGCCGCUGCUGCGGGGCGCGGGGGGAGGCGGGGUGCGAUGGUGUCCGUAAAAAAGAGCCUGCUGUUGCAGGGGGGCGCAGGCCCGGGACUUGCCAGGACGCCGCGAGACUGUCACUUUGCUGUGAGGCUCUCGGGCCGAUCAGCGGGUCAUGCGUGCAGUCGGCAAGUACCAUGAGCAGACAUGUUGGGACCCGAAAGAUGGUGAACUAUGCCUGGCCAGGAUGAAGCCAGAGGAAACUCUGGUGGAGGUCCGUAGCGAUUC